CCAAUAGCGUAUAUUAAAGUUGUUGCAGUUAAAAAGCUCGUAGUUGAAUUUCGGGGUCAGCAAGUUGGUCGUGCCACUGGUAUGUACUGGCUUUGCUGAUUCCUCCUUCUUGUAGAACCGUAAUGCCAUUAAUUUGGUGUUGCGGGGAAACAGGACUGUUACUUUGAAAAAAUUAGAGUGUUUAAAGCAGGCUAACGCUUGAAUACAUUAGCAUGGAAUAAUGAAAUAGGACGAGCGAUCCUAUUUUGUUGGUUUCUAGGAUUGACGUAAUGAUUAAUAGGGAUAGUUGGGGGCAUUAGUAUUCAAUUGUCAGAGGUGAAAUUCUUGGAUUUAUUGAAGACUAACUACUGCGAAAGCAUUUGCCAAGGAUGUUUUCAUUAAUCAAGAACGAAAGUUAGGGGAUCGAAGACGAUCAGAUACCGUCGUAGUCUUAACCAUAAACUAUGCCGACUAGGGAUCGGAUGAUGUUAAUUUUAUAAUGACUCAUUCGGCGCCUUAC
rnacentral:rRNA from 1 species